rnacentral:rRNA from 1 species
UACGGGGGGGGCAAGCGUUGUUCGGAAUUACUGGGCGUAAAGCGUGCGUAGACGGUUAUUUAAGUCGGGUGUGAAAGCCCCGGGCUCAACCUGGGAAUUGCAUUCGAGACUGAAUAGCUAGGGUACGGUAGAGGGAAGUGGAAUUUCCGGUGUAGCGGUGAAAUGCGUAGAUAUCGGGAGGAACACCGGUGGCGAAGGCGGCGACCUGGGUAGAUACUGACGCUGAGGUGCGAAAGCGUGGGGAGCAAACAGG